ensembl:snRNA U6 U6 spliceosomal RNA
GUGUUCACUUUGGCAGCACAUAUACUAAAACUGGAAUGAUACAGAGAAGAUUAGCAUGUCCCCUGCACAAGGAUAAGUGCAAAUUCAUCAAGUGUUCCAUAUUAAA